CAUGCAAGUCGAGGGGCAGCAUGAUUGAAGCUUGCUUCAAUUGAUGGCGACCGGCGCACGGGUGAGUAACGCGUAUCCAACCUUCCGUACACUCAGGGAUAGCCUUUCGAAAGAAAGAUUAAUACCCGAUGGUAUGAUGAGAUUGCAUGAUAGCAUCAUUAAAGAUUUAUCGGUGUACGAUGGGGAUGCGUUCCAUUAGGUAGUAGGCGGGGUAACGGCCCACCUAGCCGACGAUGGAUAGGGGUUCUGAGAGGAAGGUCCCCCACAUUGGAACUGAGACACGGUCCAAACUCCUACGGGAGGCAGCAGUGAGGAAUAUUGGUCAAUGGACGAGAAUCUGAACCAGCCAAGUAGCGUGAAGGAUGAAGGUCCUACGGAUUGUAAACUUCUUUUAUAAGGGAAUAAAACCUCCCACGUGUGGGAGCUUGUAUGUACCUUAUGAAUAAGCAUCGGCUAACUCCGUGCCAGCAGCCGCGGUAAUACGGAGGAUGCGAGCGUUAUCCGGAUUUAUUGGGUUUAAAGGGAGCGCAGACGGGUCGUUAAGUCAGCUGUGAAAGUUUGGGGCUCAACCUUAAAAUUGCAGUUGAUACUGGCGUCCUUGAGUGCGGUUGAGGUGUGCGGAAUUCGUGGUGUAGCGGUGAAAUGCUUAGAUAUCACGAAGAACUCCGAUUGCGAAGGCAGCACACUAAGCCGUAACUGACGUUCAUGCUCGAAAGUGUGGGUAUCAAACAGGAUUAGAUACCCUGGUAGUCCACACGGUAAACGAUGGAUACUCGCUGUUGGCGAUAUACAGUCAGCGGCUUA
rnacentral:rRNA from 1 species